UACGUAGGGACCAAGCGUUGUCCGGAAUCAUUGGGCGUAAAGAGCGUGUAGGCGGCCUGUUAAGUCUUGCGUGAAAUCUCGGGGCUCAACCCCGAGCGGUCGUGAGAAACUGGCGGGCUAGAGUGCGGGAGAGGAGAGUGGAAUUCCUGGUGUAGCGGUGAAAUGCGCAGAUAUCAGGAAGAACACCAAUGGCGAAAGCAGCUCUCUGGGACGGUACUGACGCUGAGACGCGAAAGCGUGGGGAGCGAACAGG
rnacentral:rRNA from 1 species